rnacentral:rRNA from 1 species
AUCAGUUUGUCUCUGGCUCAGAGCGGAACGCUGGGCAUGCCGUUACACAUGCAAGCUCGAACGGUAACAGGUACUCGACGAUGCUGACGAGUGCGAACGGGUGAGUAAUACAUCUGGAACGUGCCUAGUAGUGCGGGAUAACUUACUCGAAAGAAGUGGCUAAUACCGACAUGAGAUCUACGGAUGAAACAGGGGAUCGCAAGACCUUGUGCUACUAGAGCGGCCGAUGGCAGAUUAGGUAGUUGGUGGGAUAAAAGCGUUACCAAGCCGACGAUCUGUAGCUGGUUCUGAGAGGACGAUCAGCCACACUGGGACUGAGACACGGCCUCAGACUCCUACGGGAGGCAGCAGUGGGGAAUUAUUGGACAAUGGGCGAAAGCCUGAUCCAGCAAUGCCGCGUGCAGGAUGAAGGCCUUCGAGGUUGUAAACUGCUUAUUGUACGGAACGAAGCCCUGGUUAAUACCCUGGGGUCAUGACGGUACCGUAAGAAUAAGCACCGGCUAACUACGUGCCAGCAGCCGCGGUAAUACGUAGGGUGCAUAGCGUUAAUGGUUAGGGCGUAACGUGCGCAGGCGGUUGUUGUAAGACAGAGGUGAAAUCCGCGGUCAACCUGGGAACUGCCUUGUGUGACUGCAAGGCUAGAGUACGGCAGAGGCUCAUGGAAUUCCGCGUGUAGCAGUGAAAUGCGUAGAUAUGCGAGGAACACCGAUGGCAGGCAAUCCCCUGGGCCUGACUGACGCUCAUGCACGAAAGCGUGGAGAGCAAUAGAUUAGAUACCCUGGUAGUCCACGCCCUAAACGAUGUCAACUGGUUGUUGGGUCUUAACAUGACUCAGAACGAAGCUAACGGCGUGAAGUUGACCGCCUGGGGUACGGCCGCAAGGUUGAAACUCAAAGGAAUUGACGGACCCGCACAAGCGGUGGAUGAUGUGGUUUAAUUCGAUGCAACGCGAAACCUUACCCACCUUUGACAUGUACGGAAUCCUGAGAUAGAGGUAGUGCUCGAAGUGAUCGCCGUAUACACAGGUGCUGCUAUGGCUGUCGACUACAAGCUCGUGUCGGUGAGAUGUUGGGUUAAGUCCCGGCAACGCAGCGCAACCCUUGCCAUUGCUACGAAGGCGCACCUAAGUGGGACUGCCGGUGACAAACCAGGAAGCGUGGGAAUGACGUCAAGUCCUCAUGGCCCUUAUAGGUGGGGCUACACACGUCAUACAAUGGCUGGUACAAAGGGUUGCCAACCCGCGAGGGGGAUGCUAAUCCCAUAAAGCCAGUCGUAGUCCGGAUCGCAGUCUGCAACUCGAACUGCGUGAAGUCGGAAUCGCUGAGUAAUCGUGGAUCAGAAUGUCACGGGUGAAUACGUUCCGGGUCUUGUACACACCGCCCGUCACACCAUGGGAGCGGCGUCUCGCCAGAAGUAGGUAGCCUAAUUGCAAGGAGCGCUUACCAAGGCGGGGUUCGUGAGGGUGAAGUCGAAGAGGUAACCACGC